rnacentral:piRNA from 1 species
UAUAAAGCGUCACUACCUUCUCACUGAGUGU